rnacentral:rRNA from 1 species
AUUGAACGCUGGCGGCAUGCCUUACACAUGCAAGUCGAACGGCAGCAUAGAGAGCUUACUCUCUGAUGGCGAGUGGCGAACGGGUGAGUAAAGCAUCGGAACGUACCGUGUAGUGGGGGAUAACGUAGCGAAAGUUACGCUAAUACCGCAUACGUACUGAGGUAGAAAGCAGGGGAUCGUAAGACCUUGCGCUGUACGAGCGGCCGAUGUCAGAUUAGCUAGUUGGUAGGGUAAAGGCCUACCAAGGCGACGAUCUGUAGCGGGUCUGAGAGGAUGAGCCGCCAAACUGGGACUGAGACACGGCCCAGACUCCUACGGGAGGCAGCAGUGGGGAAUUUUGGACAAUGGGGGCAACCCUGAUCCAGCCAUGCCGCGUGAGUGAAGAAGGCCUCCGGGUUGUAAAGCUCUUUCGGCCGGGAAGAAAUCGCACAGGCUAAUACCCUGUGUGGAUGACGGUACCGGCAUAAGAAGCACCGGCUAACUACGUUACAGCCGCCGCGGUAA